CGUCGGCGGGGUCACCCGGCCGGGGCCGGCUCCGUACGCGGGUGCGGUUCCGGGCGCGGAGCCGGGCGCGGUUCAGCGGGCCGCGGCGAACGCC
rnacentral:tRNA from 2 species